rnacentral:rRNA from 1 species
UACGAAGGGGGCUAGCGUUGUUCGGAAUUACUGGGCGUAAAGCGCGCGUAGGCGGACUGACAAGUCGGGGGUGAAAUCCCGAGGCUCAACCUCGGAACUGCCUUCGAUACUGGCGAUCUUGAGUCCGGAAGAGGUGAGUGGAACUCCUAGUGUAGAGGUGGAAUUCGUAGAUAUUAGGAAGAACACCAGUGGCGAAGGCGGCUCACUGGUCCGGUACUGACGCUGAGGGGCGAAAGCGUGGGGAGCAAACAGG